UGUGUGUGAGUCAGGAAGUGAGGCCACACUAGAAGCUUGCCAUGAAGUCAUUCUGGUGCUCGACUUCCCAGUCCUCAGAACUGUCACAGAAAGGUGUUGCAUCCAGCUUAAUGAAGACCAGAUCAAGUUCUGCAAAUUGUAUAGAGCUGAGUUACUUCCGAGAGUUCUCAGUCACAUGAGAUGAAGAGCACAGACCACGUGCCCAGUACAGGGAGAGACUUGGAGGGAAGGCCUCUCUGGCCCAAGAGGACCUUCGACUUGGUAAGGGGGCCAAGUCUACUGGCUGCCAUCUGCAAGAAAGAGAACAAGAAAAGCUGGGGGCAUCAUUGAGUCCUAAUAGGAAGGCCUAAGAA